AGCGAACGCUGGCGGCAGGCCUAACACAUGCAAGUCGAACGAACCUUUCGGGGUUAGUGGCGGACGGGUGAGUAACACGUGGGAACGUGCCCUUAGGUUCGGAAUAACUCAGGGAAACUUGUGCUAAUACCGAAUGUGCCCUUCGGGGGAAAGAUUUAUUGCCUUUAGAGCGGCCCGCGUCUGAUUAGCUAGUUGGUUGAGGUAAUGGCUCACCAAGGCGACGAUCAGUAGCUGGUCUGAGAGGAUGAUCAGCCACAUUGGGACUGAGACACGGCCCAAACUCCUACGGGAGGCAGCAGUGGGGAAUCUUGCGCAAUGGGCGAAAGCCUGACGCAGCCAUGCCGGGUGAAUGAUGAAGGUCUUAGGAUUGUAAAAUUCUUUCACCGGGGACGAUAAUGACGGUACCCGGAGAAGAAGCCCCGGCUAACUUCGUG
rnacentral:rRNA from 1 species